AUACGGAGGGUGCAAGCGUUAAUCGGAAUUACUGGGCGUAAAGCGUACGUAGGCGGUUAGUUAAGUUAGAUGUGAAAGCCCCGGGCUUAACCUGGGAACUGCAUUUAAAACUGGCUAACUAGAGUUAAGUAGAGGGGAGUGGGAUUUCAGGUGUAGCGGUGAAAUGCGUAGAGAUCUGAAGGAACACCAGUGGCGAAGGCGACUCCCUGGACUUGAACUGACGCUGAGGUACGAAAGCGUGGGUAGCAAACGGGAUUAGAUACCCUAGUAGUCC
rnacentral:rRNA from 1 species